GUUGCUUAGUGGUUCACUCAAAUUCUCUGCACUGGACAGUAAAAAGAUACAAAUCUUAUCGAUUAUUGAGUCGGGUCAUGUCUAAUACUACAUGGCAAAGAUACCAUUUUCAUUGAGAGGAAAUGUUGCAGUGCAAUUCCAUAUUUUUAUCCUCGUACUGAAUAUAAAUAGAAGAUGACAUUUACACAAGGUAAAAAGAAACCAUGUGAAUUGAAAAUCACGUUUCAGUAUUCAGAAAAGUAGAAUUUUUAACACAACAGAUUAAGUGAAAACCAGCCAGCAACAGUUAGAAUUAAGAACUCGUACAUGGACAAUGGACAAUGACUAACAGAAUACAGGGAAUACAGAGUUGCAUCAAAAAAUCAUUUGGUGGCAUGGCCAUGGACCGAUUUGAUUAUCGCCAAGCUUCAAUUCGUUCUGUCAUUAAAUUUAUACGGCUCAAAUUGCUAAUUCCUUUGAUCCUGUUUUCUGUUUCCAUAGCCAUAACCACGAGUUGCUGCCCGUUAACUUUUCCUUCAGUUUUUGAAGGAUUCGAAGCACUUGAUUGGUCUGUUUUGCU
rnacentral:lncRNA from 1 species